GACGAACGCUGGCGGCGUGCUUAACACAUGCAAGUCGAACGAAGAGCGAUGGAAGCUUGCUUCUAUCAAUCUUAGUGGCGAACGGGUGAGUAACGCGUAAUCAACCUGCCCUCCAGAGGGGGACAACAGUUGGAAACGACUGCUAAUACCGCAUACGAUCUAAUCUCGGCAUCGAGGAAAGAUGAAAGGUGGCCUCUAUUUAUAAGCUAUCACUGAAGGAGGGGAUUGCGUCUGAUUAGCUAGUUGGAGGGGUAACGGCCCACCAAGGCGAUGAUCAGUAGCCGGUCUGAGAGGAUGAACGGCCACAUUGGGACUGAGACACGGCCCAGACUCCUACGGGAGGCAGCAGUGGGGAAUCUUCCGCAAUGGACGAAAGUCUGACGGAGCAACGCCGCGUGAGUGAUGACGGCCUUCGGGUUGUAAAGCUCUGUUAAUCAGGACGAAAGGCCUUCCUGCGAACAGUUAGAAGGAUUGACGGUACCGGAAUA
rnacentral:rRNA from 1 species